GACCGAGCAGUCAAAGCUAUAAUUGCAGUUGUGACUUCACCUACGUCUUUGUUCCUCUUUCUUAUACGACACUUCAGUGCUUCUUCGGAGAGACCUUCUUGAUGGUCUUCUUAUCUGAGGUUGUUUCUCCUUCAUGUACUUACGGAAAUGACCUCACAAUAUUCUUCUACUAUGUGUUGAAUGAACAUAAAAAUUAUCACCAUAACAUUACUUUUCUCAUAAACAUUGUCUAACAUACUCUCACGAUAUGUUUUGGCUUCCUGAGUUGGUGCCAUCUACAUAUAGUUUAGACUUUACUAAUUUUGAUCUCUUCCAAAAGGAAACAAAUUUAUUCUAGUUUGCAAAUUGGUUCGCCCAUCUUUAAUGAAAAUAAAAUGAACGUGAGUAUUUAUCUUUCGCAAAAUGUACAUGGAUAUUCUUUUAUUGCUUCUUUCUAAACUACUGUCAAAUACUCUAAAUAAAUUUAAAAUGGUCCUAAAGUACCUUGCAAAUGAUGAAUGAACUAAAUACAAUGUUAAACUACGAGUUGAAGAACAUGCAUUAUAAGUCUAUAUAUCAUGGUUUAAUCUCCUAAAAUGAGUUAUAAUGCAAAGAAAAGAAAUAUGAAUGUAUGAUAUGUCUGUUUCUGAUGAAUUU
rnacentral:lncRNA from 1 species